CCUACGGGGUGCAGCAGUGGGGAAUCUUGCGCAAUGGUCGAAAGACUGACGCAGCGACGCCGCGUGCGGGAGGAAGCCCUUCGGGGUGUAAACCGCUGUUACUCGGGACGAACUUCCCGAUUUAUCGGGAUUGACGGUACCGGGGGAGGAAGCACCGGCUAACUCUGUGCCAGCAGCCGCGGUAAUACAGAGGGUGCGAGCGUUGUCCGGAAUCACUGGGCGUAAAGGGCGCGCAGGCGGCUUUUCAAGCGAAAUCUCGGUGGUUAACUCCGAGGCUGCCGUGCGAACUGGGAGGCUUGAGUCUGGUAGAGGUCGAUGGAAUUCCGGGUGUAGCGGUGGAAUGCGUAGAGAUCCGGAAGAACACCGGUGGCGAAGGCGGUCGACUGGGCCAGAACUGACGCUGAGGCGCGACAGCGUGGGGAGCAAACAGGAUUAGAUACCCCAGUAGUC
rnacentral:rRNA from 1 species